rnacentral:tRNA from 1 species
UCCCUGGUGGUCUAGUAGUUAAGACUCCACAGUCCCAACACAGGGGCACAGGUUCAAUUCCUGGUCAGGGAA